rnacentral:rRNA from 1 species
UACGUAGGGGGCAAGCGUUGUCCGGAUUUAUUGGGCGUAAAGAGCGUGUAGGCGGCCAUGUAGGUCCGUUGUGAAAACUCGAGGCUCAACCUCGAGACGCCGAUGGAAACCAUGUGGCUAGAGUCCGGAAGAGGAGAGUGGAAUUCCUGGUGUAGCGGUGAAUUGCGCAGAUAUCAGGAAGAACACCCGUGGCUAAGGCGGCUCUCUAGUACGGUACUGACGCUGAGACGCGAAAGCGUGGGGAGCGAACAGG